AUUAAACGCUGGCGGCAUGCCUUACACAUGCAAGUCGAACGGCAGCACGGGGGCAACCCUGGUGGCGAGUGGCGAACGGGUGAGUAAAGCAUCGGAACGUGCCCUGGAGUGGGGGAUAACGUAGCGAAAGUUACGCUAAUACCGCAUAUUCUGUGAGCAGGAAAGCAGGGGAUCGCAAGACCUUGCGCUUUGGGAGCGGCCGAUGUCGGAUUAGCUAGUUGGUGGGGUAAAGGCCUACCAAGGCGACGAUCCGUAGCGGGUCUGAGAGGAUGAUCCGCCACACUGGGACUGAGACACGGCCCAGACUCCUACGGGAGGCAGCAGUGGGGAAUUUUGGACAAUGGGCGCAAGCCUGAUCCAGCCAUGCCGCGUGAGUGAAGAAGGCCUC
rnacentral:rRNA from 1 species